AGGCAUAAUAGAGAGCCAUUCAAUGUGUGAGUGAAUCAGGCAUAAUAGAGAGCCAUUCAAUGUGUGAGUGAAUCAAUGAAUCAGGCAUAAUAGAGAGCCAUUCAAUGUGUGAGUGAAUCAGGCAUAAUAGAGAGCCAUUCAAUGUGUGAGUGAAUCAAUGAAUCAGGCAUAAUAGAGAGCCAUUCAAUGUGUAACUUUGUCCCACUAGAAUCAUGAGUGAGGCACCAUGUCUACAGGACAGACAGGAAGACAGGUGAGGACAGACAGGAAGACAGGUAAGGACAGACAGGAAGACAGGUAAGGACAGACAGGAAGACAGGUAAGGACAGACAGGAAGACAGGUAAGGACAGACAGGAAGACAGGUAAGGACAGACAGGAAGACAGGUAAGGACAGACAGGAAGACAGGUAAGGACAGACAGGAAGACAGGUAAGGACAGACAGGAAGACAGGUAAGGACAGACAGGAAGACAGGUAAGGACAGACAGGAAGACAGGUAAGGACAGACAGGAAGACAGGUAAGGAC